AUUGAACGCUGGCGGCAGGCCUAACACAUGCAAGUCGAACGGUAACAGGAAGCAGCUUGCUGCUUUGCUGACGAGUGGCGGACGGGUGAGUAAUGUCUGGGAAACUGCCUGAUGGAGGGGGAUAACUACUGGAAACGGUAGCUAAUACCGCAUAACGUCGCAAGACCAAAGAGGGGGACCUUAGGGCCUCUUGCCAUCGGAUGUGCCCAGAUGGGAUUAGCUAGUAGGUGGGGUAACGGCUCACCUAGGCGACGAUCCCUAGCUGGUCUGAGAGGAUGACCGGCCACACUGGAACUGAGACACGGUCCUGACUCCUACGGGAGGCAGCAGUGGGGAAUAUUGCACAAUGGGCGCAAGCCUGAUGCAGCCAUGCCGCGUGUAUGAAGAAGGCCUUCGGGUUGUAAAGUACUUUCAGCGGGGAGGAAGGGAGUAAAGUUAAUACCUUUGCUCAUUGACGUUACCCGCAGAAGAAGCACCGGCUAACUCCGUG
rnacentral:rRNA from 1 species